rnacentral:tRNA from 1 species
UUAGUUAAAACCAAAAAAGAGGUACUCCACUGUUAAUGGAACCAUUGAAUAAACUCUAACUAAA